CCUACGGGUGGCAGCAGUGAGGAAUAUUGGUCAAUGGGCGGGAGCCUGAACCAGCCAAGUCGCGUGAGGGACGACGGUCCUAUGGAUUGUAAACCUCUUUUGUCGGGGAACAAAGGCGCCCACGGGUGGGUGGAUGAGUGUACCGGAAGAAAAAGCAUCGGCUAACCCCGUGCCAGCAGCGGCGGUAAUACGGAGGAUGCGAGCGUUAUCCGGUUUUAUUGGGUUUAGAGGGUGCGUAGGCGGACGGUAAAGUCAGCGGUAAAAAUGCGGUGCUCAACCCCGUACAGCCGUUGAAACUGGCAGACUUGAGUGAGCGAGAGGUAUGCGGAAUGCGUGGUGUAGCGGUGAAAUGCAUAGAUAGCACGCAGAACACCGAUUGCGAAGGCAGCAUACCGGCGCCCUACUGACGCUGAGGCACGAAAGCGUGGGUAUCGAACAGGAUUAGAUACCCCGGUAGUC
rnacentral:rRNA from 1 species